rnacentral:RNase_P_RNA from 1 species
GCGGAUGGCCGGACGGCCGCGGGGGGAAACUUCCGAGGAAAGUCCGGACUCCACAAGGCAACGGUGCCGGGUAACGCCCGGCCGGGGCAACCCGAGGGAAAGCGCCACAGAGAACAGUCCGCUCCGGCCCGGUUGGAGGUUCGCCUCCGGUCAAGUCCGGAGCAAGGGUGAAACGGUGGGGUAAGAGCCCACCGCGGGGGUGGCAACAUCCCCGGCACGGCAAGCCCCACCGGGAGCAAUGCCGAAUAGGGACCGCGCGGGGUUUCGGCCCCGGGGCCGCCUUGGCCCCAGCAGGUCCGGGUUGGCAGCUCGAGGCGGUCGGUAACGGCCGUCCCAGAGGAAUGGCCGUCCAAGGGGCGCGCGCCCCCGGACAGAAUCCGGCUUACAGGCCAUCCGCGCAU